rnacentral:rRNA from 1 species
CUACGGGAGGCAGCAGUAGGGAAUUUUUCACAAUGGACGAAAGUCUGAUGGAGCAAUGCCGCGUGGAUGAUGAAGGUUGGAAACAAUUGUAAAAUCCUUUUAUAUGGGAAGAAUUGUAUAGAUAGGAAAUGAUCUAUAUUUGACGGUACCAUUUGAAUAAGUAACGACUAACUAUGUGCCAGCAGUCGCGGUAAUACAUAGGUUGCAAGCGUUAUCCGGAUUUACUGGGCGUAAAACGAGCGCAGGCGGGUUUUCAAGUCUGGUGUUAAAUGCCGUCGCUUAACGACGGCAUGCAUUGGAAACUGUUAACCUAGAGUUUGGUAGAGAGUUCUGGAACUCCAUGUGGAGCGGUGGAAUGCGUAGAUAUAUGGAAGAACACCAGUUGCGAAGGCGAGAACUUGGGCCACAACUGACGCUUAGGCUCGAAAGUGUGGGGAGCAAAUAGGAUUAGAUACCCUAGUAGUCCACACCGUAGACGAUGGGUGUUAAACGUCGGGAUUUAAUCUCGGUGUUGUAGUUAACACAUUAAACACCCUGCCUGGGUAGUACAUUCGCAAGAAUGAAACUCAAACGGA